rnacentral:rRNA from 1 species
CAGCAGCCACGGUAAUACGGAGGGUGCAAGCGUUAAUCGGAAUUACUGGGCGUAAAGCGUGCGUAGGCGGUUCGUUAAGUCUGUUGUGAAAGCCCCGGGCGCAACCUGGGAAUGGCAAUGGAUACUGGCGAGCUAGAGUGUGUCAGAGGAUGGUGGAAUUCCCGGUGUAGCGGUGAAAUGCGUAGAGAUCGGGAGGAACAUCAGUGGCGAAGGCGGCCACCUGGGACAACACUGACGCUGAGGCACGAAAGCGUGGGGAGCAAACAGGAUUAGAUACCCCAGUAGUCCCUGUCUCUUAUAC